rfam:Tupaia chinensis contig70258, whole genome shotgun sequence.
AAGACUAUACUUUCAGGGAUUAUUUCUGUAGUUCCUAACUAGAGAUGUUUCUCUGAUUGUAUAGACCACCAAAAACCACAAGGAAGAGACGCAGCAUUCUCGCUUGAGUGUGAAGCCAGUUCCUGGUGUUGCUUCUCUGCAACUGCUCUUUGUCAUUGAUGAUUGUUCUCUUUGGUGGGAUAGUAAGAGGGAGAGAAUGUAGUCUGAGUGGU